GGUUCCUGAUAUGGAUGAUGAAGAAGGGGAAGGAGAAGAAGAUGAUGAUGAUGAUGAAGAAGAAGAAGGAUUGGAAGAUAUUGAUGAAGAAGGAGAUGAGGAUGAAGGUGAAGAAGAUGAAGAUGAUGAUGAGGGGGAGGAAGGAGAGGUAAAAAAGAAUUUGGUUAAGUCCAAAGAAGACCAAUCUUGAAAGAACUUACCCUGUUAUUUUGUGGGUUGUAUAUAUUGUGUAAUAGAGGUGUGGCCAACGGUGGGAGGAUUUGUAGGUGAGAUGAGCUAGUUUUUCGAGAUGGAAGAAAGUUUUAAUCAAGUCCUUAUAUCAGUGAUUUUUAACUGUAACCAGUUCUGCUUUGGUGGUUCGUACUCUGUUCUGCCCUUCCCCUAACUAGUACUUAAUGAAAGUGAUAUGGGUAGUGCAGCUGGUCAGAUUCUGAGAAAUUUAAAUAGCAGAUUUGCAUGUUUUGGACAAACAGUAAAAUCCUUCUAGUCAGAUAGAAAUAGAUCGUUUCUUGGUUUGUUUUACUUGGUGUGAAAGAGGUCAGAUUUUGGUUAGCGCUGAAAAGUUAACUAAUUUAUGUGAAACAGCAUCACUGGGUGGUUCAAUUGAGAUUUGAUACAGACCGAUUUGUGGGUUCGUUCGUAAAAUGACAUGUCCCCGUAGUGCAUCAGUAUGUCCUAUGGAAGUCCAUGAGUGUCUGUACGAAUGUUGGGGAAUGACCUUAGAAUUAACCCUGGAGAUUAACUGCCCACUUUUCUUUCUUACAGGAGGAUGAAGGAGAAGACGACUGAUGGAUUCCAACCUUCCUUUUUUAAUUUUCUCCAGUCCCUGGGAGCAACUUGCAGUCUUUUUUUUUUUUUUUCCCCCUCCUCUUGUGCUCAUUCGCCCUGUUUUUUGAAGUCUCUUUUCUCUCCCUUUAUACCAUGGUUCUCAACUUAUUUUGGGGGGAAAUACCUUGAGCAGAAUACAGUGGGAAAAGAAUCUCUACCCCUUUCUGUUCCAAAUUCAUUUUUAUCCCUUCCUGUCUCAACAAAAACUUUAUGGAAUCAACACCACCGUGCUCUGUGGGAAAAAAGAAAAACCUUCUGCUCCCUUAGCUCUGCUGGAAGCUGGAGGGUGCUAGGCCCCUGUGUAGUAGUGCAUAGAAUUCUAGCUUUUUUCCUCCUUUCUCUGUAUAUUGGGCUCAGAGAUUACACUGUGUCUCUAUGUGAAUAUGGACAGUUAGCAUUUACCAACAUGUAUCUGUCUACUUUCUCUUGUUUAAAAAAAAGAAAAAAAAACUUAAAAAAAUGGGGUUAUAGAAGGUCAGCAAAGGGUGGGUUUGAGAUGUUUGGGUGGGUUAAGUGGGCAUUUUGACAACAUGGCUUCUCCUUUGGCAUGUU
rnacentral:lncRNA from 1 species